GACGUAGGGGGCCAGCGUUGCUCGGAAUUACUGGGCGUAAAGGGUUCGUAGGCGGUGCGGCAAGUUGGGAGUGAAAUCUCUGGGCUUAACCCAGAGGCUGCUUCCAAAACUGCCGUGCUAGAGUGCGAGAGAGGCCAGUGGAAUUGCAGGUGUAGCGGUGAAAUGCGUAGAUAUCUGCAGGAACACCCGUGGCGAAGGCGGCUGGCUGGAACACUACUGACGCUGAGGAACGAAAGCGAGGGAAGCAAACAGG
rnacentral:rRNA from 1 species